rnacentral:rRNA from 1 species
AAUAUUGCACAAUGGGCGCAAGCCUGAUGCAGCCAUGCCGCGCGUAUGAAGAAGGCCUUCGGGUUGUAAAGUACUUUCAGCAGUGAGGAAGGUGGGUAUGUUAAUAGCAUAUUCAUUUGACGUUAGCUGCAGAAGAAGCACCGGCUAACUCCGUGCCAGCAGCCGCGGUAAUACGGAGGGUGCGAGCGUUAAUCGGAAUUACUGGGCGUAAAGCGCAUGCAGGUGGUUUGUUAAGUCAGAUGUGAAAGCCCGGGGCUCAACCUCGGAAUUGCAUUUGAAACUGGCAAACUAGAGUACUGUAGAGGGGGUAGAAUUUCAGGUGUAGCGGUGAAAUGCGUAGAGAUCUGAAGGAAUACCGGUGGCGAAGGCGGCCCCCUGGACAGAUACUGACACUCAGAUGCGAAAGCGUGGGGAGCAAACAGGAUUAGAUACCCUGGUAG